UGCAGUCGAGCGGGAAAGUUCCCUUCGGGGGGCGAGUAGAGCGGCGAACGGGUGAGUAACACGUAGGUAACCUACUCUGGAGCCCGGGAUAACCUGUCGAAAGAUGGGCUAAUACCGGAUAAGACCACGAGAACUUCGGUUCAUGAGGUAAAAGAUGGCCUCUGCUUGCAAGCUAUCACUCCGGAAUGGGCCUGCGCGCCAUUAGCUUGUUGGUGGGGUAAAGGCUCACCAAGGCGAAGAUGGCUAGCUGGUCUGAGAGGAUGAUCAGCCACACUGGGACUGAGACACGGCCCAGACUCCUACGGGAGGCAGCAGUGGGGAAUAUUGCGCAAUGGGCGAAAGCCUGACGCAGCGACGCCGCGUGGGUGAUGAAGGCCUUCGGGUCGUAAAGCCCUGUCGGGAGGGAAGAAAUCUCGGUAACCCAAUACGUUGCCGACUUGACGGUACCUCCUAAGGAAGCACCGGCUAACUCCGUGCCAGCAGCCGCGGUAAUACGGAGGGUGCGAGCGUUGUUCGGAAUCACUGGGCGUAAAGCGCGUGUAGGCGGCCUCUUGAGUUCGGUGUGAAAGCCCGGGGCUCACCCCCGGAAGUGCACCGGAUACUGGGAGGCUCGAGUACCGGAGAGGAGGGUGGAAUUCCUGGUGUAGCGGUGAAAUGCGUAGAUAUCAGGAGGAACACCGGCGGCGAAGGCGGCCCUCUGGACGGAUACUGACGCUGAGACGCGAAA
rnacentral:rRNA from 1 species